rnacentral:antisense_RNA from 1 species
GUCUUAUGUUCAAUUUUUACCCUAUUUUGCCAGAAAAUUCAACAGUGCAAACUGGCAAUGAAUAUUUAUUUUAAAAUACAACCACGGACUCCUAAGAACACCAAAGAACAAGAAUCACUUACAUGCCACUUCCAGAGACGCAUUUCGACUCACUGCUUCACCAAGAUAGUUCCUCGCAACACAAACGUAGCUUCCUUCAUCAGGUUUACUCCUGCGCCCGUGCACGAUGCGCAAGAAGAAUAAGGAUCCGCUGGGCAGAAGCAUCCUGUGGGACCGGGGAUCGUCCUUGUCAGUCUCCACUCGCUCCCCAUCUUUGUACCACUCAAUGGUGGGCGUUGGCCGGCCCUCCGCCUUGCAGUUCAGAGUCGUGGGCUCGCCCUUAGAGACGAUGACAUCGGAAGGAUGCUCCACAAUCCGCGGGGGAAAGUCCUCCUGGCGAAGACGCGAUCCCCCCUUCCAAGGUUUUCCUUUCCAGGGGGUCCGGGUCAGCUUGCUCAGAGUUGGUCCAGAGAGGAAGAGCAUCAAAACGAAGAGAAGUUCAAGCCUAG